GGGCACUACUGCAGGGAACAAAGACACACCGACACAUCUGUAUCCGAGCUGGGACUGAGGACACUCACCAGCCACUUUAUUAGACUUUGGAACGUUCUUAUAACUUUAAGAUUUGCGGAUGGAUGAAGCUGCCUUCUUUUGUGCCAAUUACUGCCACCGUUUCCCUUUACGAUGUGACUCCAUGACACGUAUGCUUCUGAUGAUAGUGCUUCUGAUGAGUACAGACGCUGAAGCUCUCCGGGUGAUUGGUGGAAAUGUGAAAGUGGUUCAAGGAGGUACCGCUAUGUUAUCGUGUUAUGUCAUGGAUACCAAUGAUGACCUGACACAGAUUACCUGGCAGAGGAGGACGAGAGAAAAACCUCACAAUGACAAUUUUCUAACUAUCCUACCCAGAGAUGGACCACAGUUUGUCAGUGAACGUGAUGAUCGAUUUAAAUAUAUUGGGAAUUUUA